rnacentral:rRNA from 1 species
CUCGUAGGCGGUCUGUUGCGUCCGCUGUGAAAACUCGGGGCUUAACCCCGAGCCUGCAGUGGAUACGGGCAGACUAGAGGUAGGUAGGGGAGAAUGGAAUUCCCGGUGUAGCGGUGAAAUGCGCAGAUAUCGGGAGGAACACCGGUGGCGAAGGCGGUUCUCUGGGCCUUACCUGACGCUGAGGAGCGAAAGCGUGGGGAGCGAACA